rnacentral:rRNA from 1 species
AUAAUUGACCCAAUAAUUUACCCAAUAAUUGACCAACGAACCAAGCUACCCUGGGGAUAACAGCGCAAUCCAUUUCAAGAGACCCCAUCGACAAAUGGGCUUACGACCUCGAUGUUGGAUCAGGGUAUCCUGGCGGUGCAGCCGCUGCCGAAGGUUCGUUUGUUCAACGAUUAAAACCCUACGUGAUCU